CAGGAAGAGGAGGAAGCCCUGGAGGGGCUGGAGGUGAUGGAUGUUUUCCUCCGGUUCUCAGGGCUCCACCUCUUUCG
rnacentral:pre_miRNA from 1 species